GACGAACGCUGGCGGCGUGCUUAACACAUGCAAGUCGAACGGAAAGGCCCCUUUGUGGGUACUCGAGCGGCGAACGGGUGCGUAACACGUGCGUAACCUGCCCUUGCCUUCGGGAUAACUUCAGGUAACUGGGGCUAAUACCGGAACGGAAUCCUUUCUGCAUGCUGGGGGUUGGAAAGCUUCGGCGGUUUUGGAUGGACUCGCGGGUUAUCUGCUUGCUGGUGGGGUGGUGGGUUACCAAGGCGUUGGCGGGUAGCCGGCCUGUGGGGGCGACCGGCCACACUGGGACUGAGGUGCGGCCCAAGCUCCUAAGGGAGGGAACAGGGGGGAAGAUUGCACGAUGGGCGGAAGGCUGAUGCAGCAACGCCGCGGGCCGGAUGACGGCCUUAGGGUUGUAAACCGAUUGCAGAAGGAGCGAAGCUUGUGGUGACGGUACCUGCAGAAGAAGCACCGGCUAACUACGUG
rnacentral:rRNA from 1 species